CACGUAGGGGGCAAGCGUUGUCCGGAUUUAUUGGGCGUAAAGAGCUCGUAGGUGGUUCGGUAAGUCGGGUGUUAAACCCCCAGGCUCAACCUGGGGACGCCACUCGAUACUGCUGUGACUAGAGUCCGGUAGGGGAGCGUGGGAAUUCCUGGUGUAGCGGUGAAAUGCGCAGAUAUCAGGAGGAACACCAGCGGCGAAGGCGGCGCUCUGGGCCGGUACUGACACUGAGGAGCGAAAGCGUGGGUAGCAAACAGG
rnacentral:rRNA from 1 species